rnacentral:rRNA from 1 species
CCCCCCUUAGUGGGAGAGUUACCACCGGAUCCCAUAAGAACUCCGGAGUUAAGCGUGCUCGGGUGGGAGUAGUCCCCAGAUGGGUGGACCUCCCUAGGAAGUCCCCGGGUACCGCUGCAUGAU